rnacentral:lncRNA from 1 species
GCUCUUUGUAGCAUGAUGCUCCGUCUCACCAGAGGCCUGUAGCCAUGGAGUCAGCCAGCCAUAGACUGACUCCUCUAGAACGGUGAGGCAGUAUAUACCUCCCUCUUUUCACCCGUUCUUCGUCUAUGUUUGUCACAGCCGCUAAAGGUCUGACUGAGGGGGGAGGUGUGGUGGAGUGAGGAUUCUGGGACAGGUGCAGCACGGGACCACAUCAACCAAGCCGUCUUUUGGCCUUAACUGCAGAGAUCUUCCGGUAGCGUUUUUACCUGACCCGAAGGGACAUUAUCCUGUCUGUACACAGUGA